GAUGAACGCUGGCGGCGUGCCUAAUACAUGCAAGUAGAACGCUGAAGGAAGGAGCUUGCUCUUUCCGGAUGAGUUGCGAACGGGUGAGUAACGCGUAGGUAACCUGCCUGGUAGCGGGGGGUAACUAUUGGAAACGAUAGCUAAUACCGCAUAACAGGAGCUGUUGCAUGAUACCUACUUAAAAGGUGCAAUUGCACCACUACCAGAUGGACCUGCGUUGUAUUAGCUAGUUGGUGAGGUAACGGCUCACCAAGGCGACGAUACAUAGCCGACCUGGGAGGGUUGUCGGCCAACCUUGGACUGGAGAACGGCCCAGACCCCUACGGGAGGCAGCAGGAGGGAAUCUUCGGCAAUGGACGGAAGUCUGACCGCGCAACGCCGCGUGAGGGAAGGAGGUUCUCGGAUCGUAAAACUCUGUUGUAAGGGAAGGACGAGUGGGAGAGUGGAAAGUUCACACUGUGACGGUAUCUUACCAGAAAGGGACGGCUAACUACGUG
rnacentral:rRNA from 1 species